UAUAGCAAACCAGUUAUAUGCUAGCUUUUGCUUAGCCCUGCCUAGUUAGAUUGCAUAAAACAUAAUGAACUUAGAUUGGGACAGUACGCAAGAUUUGGUUGAUUUCCGGGUGGCUAGUACUGUCUCGGUCGAUAUAAGUUUACCAAGUACUUAUGUCAAACGAACGAGUACGACCGCAGCUUCUAGAAUGGGGACAGACCUAGAUAUUAUGUUAAUUAACAAUGUGGUACCUCUGUACAGUGGUUCUUAUGUAAGUCCUCGCGAAGGAGGCAAAUAUAUGCCGCGAAGGGCAAAUGUGAUAUUUACCGAGGCGCAGGUAAAUAUCUUGAUUAUCGCGCGAUGUGUGUGUGAAUUUAUGAAAACCUGGUUGAGAUGACAUGGGGUCUCUCAUCCAGUUCUCUCUAAAAACCCCGGGAACGCCAGAACUCCUCUCGCUGCUGAUAACGUUACAUUCAGAGCGCAUGGGGAUUAGAGUUCAUGGAACAGGUGCCACAAUUGUUAAUAACCUAAUACUGGGCCAUGACUAAGCUAAUGAUUAUUGGCAAGUCGUGGACUGCGGGUAAAGCGUACAUCUACUGCAGUAUGAAUAUCCUUGAAUCUAUUCGAAUAGCCGUGCUCACGGAUUGAGCAUCGGGACUCAUAUGGUACUUUGGUUAGAAAUAUAAUUCAAGAUUUUCUUAAAUACUGUUGCAUAUCAAGCAUUUCAGGAUUUCUACCUCUUUAUUCUCAGCUUUCUGCAAGUAAACCUAGCUCUACACAGAUAUUACCAUUUCAUAUAUUCAUUAUUGGUUAAUAUAAUAGCUUGCUGAGUACGUUGUACUCACCCUUGCUUCAACCCCUCUUUUUCAGAGUUUAAUUGGAGUUUUUGCCGAAGCUGGGAGUUCAAUCACAUAAGUUAGUUCCCUUUAAACCUAAUCUUCAAGUCUAGUGUAGUUAGAUGGUUUAAGUCUAUAGCAAAACAUUAGGAUUAAGUCAUUCUAUAGCUUCUGUUGUAUUAGUUAGCCACAAACUUGUAAAUGUCCUAUUAUUUUAUAAUAUAAACCCCUUUGGAGCCUUAUUCAAAUGUAUGCGAUGAAGAUCCAGAUUGUUGAACCUGUAUCAAUCUACUGAUCCAGGGCUUGAUACAGUAUAAACAUGUCGGUUUCCGAAUCAUUAGUUUUGGGAUCCGACACUAUUGGUGCCGGCUUUUUAUGAACUGGCAUCAAUGAGUGACUAUUUGUGUCGGGUUUUAUUUGUAGAUCCAUAGAAAGGUGAGGAAAACCUCAUAUGUGUCGGGGCUUUUAUGUACCGACAUCUAUGAUGACGUUUUCUAUUAAUUUUUUUUAUUGUGAUAAUUGGUCCUGCCCUUUUUGUCCAUGUUGCACAUGCCCAUAUGAUUCUAAUUUGUCAGUGUGUACUACCAACCACAUCACUUGCUAUCAAUCAUCCUAGCCAUUUAGCCAAUUGUUACAACUUAGUUACUGUUGACACAUGCUGUUGCUAAAGCUUACUAAUUAUACUCCUCUGCUCUGUGUUACACCUGCCCCUGCGUUUCUGAAAUAAAUAUUAUAGGAUUUAAAUUAUAUAUACAAUAUAAAUAAGCAAUUUGAGGCACCAUUUUUAAUGCAUAAAAAUAUAAGUAUUUUCAGCCAAUCAUGUGCUUAAGAUGAGAAUCCAAUUUUUUAAAAAAUUUAACAAAUGAGAUGACUAAAAGAGAUUAUUUUUCCCUUAACUUUAUUCUUACUUAAAUAUAUUUAGAAACGAAGGGAGUACCUUAAUUGGGACUAGAUAUGUUGAAUCCCAAAAGUUGGCUAAUUUUAUGUUUAGUCAAUUUUACUAUAUGAACUAUUUAUAUAUUUGUUUCCCCUGCCAAGACCAUGACUUUUACACCCAUGGACAAGAAUAGUUGUAGCAAUCAUAAAUGGGGCCAACUAUUUUUUUUAAUCAAACCUGAUGAUUGGAUUGUCACGUGUGCAGUACGUAGGACCAAAACCACCCCAUACUAGGAUGGGUGUUGUAUUUUGUCUAAAUUAAAUAGUUCAGUGGAGUAAUUUGUCUGGUUUCAUACUCGAGGGAUAAAUCGUAUUUGCACGGUUAAUCGGACUUAAUCCAUAUAAAUAAAAGAAUUACACAUUUACAUGUGAGAAGAUAAAUAAAUGCCUAGCCAUUCUAAUAUGUGAGGGUGAUAUCUACCUUUUGCUCUAUGAAUAACCAAGGCAAAUUAUGCUAAAAACACAUAUACUACAACAAAAUGGUCCCAUUAAGACGUUUCUCUCUAGACGCUUUCAAACACGUCUCUGAAUUUGGGAUGAGGUAGCAUAUAAAGACGCUUCCUGAGAGCAAGUUCAAUAGUAUAGCCAACUACUAGCUCCAAUUCAUCUAUAGCCAAUCUAAUAGCUCAUUCAUACAAUAGUUACAUACUACACUGUUAAUACCUAGUCCCACCUGUCAUAGACACACUGCGUCUUGGAGUCCAUGCAACAGCUGGCAACAAAUCUGUAGCCCGCUGCUCUUCUCUCUCCUGAUUUAUCUCCUUAAAAUAUGUUUGCAGCUGGCUUAUAGCUUACUAUUGUACCUGCUCUGAGACGGUUUACAAGUCGCCACAAAAUUUCCAGGGUAAAGACACUUUAUUGACGUCUUAGGCCCUGUUUCUUUCAGCUUGAGAUUAUUAUAAUCCAGACUAUUGGGAGGAAGCUGAAAGAAACAGACAACUUAUUGAAGUAGCUUAUUAUAAUCUGAAGCUCAGCUUAUUAUAAUCUGAUAACCUCAUUUAGGUGAGCUUUUUCCAGAUUAUUGGGUGAAAAAUUACCCACCAUGCCACCCACUCCCUCUUUAGACUUGCAAACCCAAUAAUUUAGGCUCUAAUAAUGUAGGAAAGAAACAAUUAACCGCUUAUUCUACUACAGAUUAUAACAAUCUAGCUUAUAGUAAUCUGACUCAGUAAUCUAAAUUAUAAUAAUCCCAAGCUGAAAGAAACAGGGCCUUAAUCACCAAAGCAACGUUGUAGGUCCGAGAAGCCCAAUUCCAACAAUCCAAAGCCCACCUAUUCGUUGUUGUUCGUUAAUAUUAAUCCAAGCAGCCCAAUACCGAUCAUUCUAAUCAGUAGCCCUAGGUUAGAAGUCCUACCGUCUCCAUCCCUGCGAGUCCCACUACGCCGCCGGCAGACGGUUAGGUGCGAGAUGAAGCGAUGGCGCACGGCCAUGACCGUGAUACGGUGGCUCCGAUGUCAAGCAUCCAAAUCAUUCGAAGAUGCGGUAGUUGCGAUACGGGCGGCGGCCGUGUGGCAACGCAUCGAUGGCAAACUGCCGUGAUGCGGUGGCCGCGACGGCAAGUCGGCACUCAUCCAGGUCACCGGGACGUGGGCAGGAGCUGCGUGUCCUUGAGCAGCGGCUGUGAAGUCGUGAUGCACAACGAUCUGUUGCUGCUCACUUAAUUUGUCAGAUGCGUAAAGAAAUCUUAAAUCUUAUGAAGGGUUCGUUGCAUAGAACCUUCGGUGAAGCCAGCGCCAAUCCGAAAUGCAGCUGGAGAUUAUAAAUGAAGAUAAUUGCAGUCAAGAAGAAAGGCGCAAAAGCAAGUAUUAGUAGUGUACGGCUAGGAAAUUUUUUGAAGUGUGUGCUUGAUCGAAUCACUAGAGAAAACUCAAGUAUUAGCCAGAUCAAUUUUUUAGGAGAUGAUCUCCUUUUGUAUACUGUAGCUGAGUUGUUAACGACAAUUACUCUUAAUAUUUAAUAUAAUUACUUUUCUUUAAUUUGA